rnacentral:rRNA from 1 species
GAUGAACGCUAGCGGGAGGCUUAAUACAUGCAAGUCGAGGGGUAACAUUAGUGCUUGCACUAGAUGACGACCGGCGCACGGGUGAGUAACGCGUACACAACCUACCUACGAGAGAGGGAUAGCCUUGGGAAACUGAGAGUAAUACCUCAUAAUAUUAUUUUGAUGAUUUUAGAAUAAUUAAAACUCUGGUGCUUGUAGAUGGGUGUGCGUUCCAUUAGCUAGUUGGUACGGUAACGGCGUACCAAGGCGACGAUGGGUAGGGGGCGUGAGAGCGUGAUCCCCCACACGGGUACUGAGACACGGACCCGACUCCUACGGGAGGCAGCAGUAAGGAAUAUUGGACAAUGGGGGCAACCCUGAUCCAGCCAUCCCGCGUGUAGGAAGACGGCCCUAUGGGUUGUAAACUACUUUUACUAGGGAAGAAUGUGUGGCAUUUAUGUCAUUUUGACGGUACCUAGAGAAUAAGCACCGGCUAACUCCG